ACUCCUACGGGAGGCAGCAGUGGGGAAUAUUGGACAAUGGGCGAAAGCCUGAUCCAGCCAUGCCGCGUGUGUGAAGAAGGUCUUCGGAUUGUAAAGCACUUUAAGUUGGGAGGAAGGGCAGUAAGUUAAUACCUUGCUGUUUUGACGUUACCAACAGAGUAAGCACCGGCUAACUUCGUGCCAGCAGCCGCGGUAAUACGAAGGGUGCAAGCGUUAAUCGGAAUUACUGGGCGUAAAGCGCGCGUAGGUGGUUCAGCAAGUUGGAUGUGAAAUCCCCCGGGCUCAACCUGGGGAACUGCAUCCAAAACUACUGAGCUAGAGUACGGUAGAGGUGGUGGAAUUUCCUGUGUAGCGGUGAAAUGCGUAGAUAUAGGAAGGAACACCAGUGGCGAAGGCGACCACCUGGACUGAUACUGACACUGAGGUGCGAAAGCGUGGGAGCAAACAGGAUUAGAUA
rnacentral:rRNA from 1 species